rnacentral:rRNA from 1 species
AAUCUGGUUGAUCCUGCCAGUAGUCAUAUGCUUGUCUUAAAGAUUAAUCCAUGCAUGUGUAAGUAUAAGUAUUGUACAGCGAAACUGCGAAUGGCUCAUUACAUCAGUUAUAAUUUAUUUGAUAAUCGAAAGUUACAUGGAUAACCGUGACAAAUUACAGCUAAUACAUGCAGUCAGACCUGGUCCAAGGGUCGUAAUUAUUAGUAUUAAACCAUUUCCGCAAGGAGUGUGAUGAAUCAUAAUAAUCGAACGAAUCGCCUGGUGUGCGAUAAAUCAUUCAAGUUUCUGCCCUAUCAGCUUUGGAUGGUAGUGUAUUGGACUACCAUGGCAGUCACGGGUAACGGAGAAUUAGGGUUCGAUUCCGGAGAGGGAGCCUGAGAAACGGCUACCACAUCUACGGAAGGCAGCAGGAGCGAAAAUUGCCCAAUCCCGACACGGGGAGGCAGUGACGAGAAAUAACAACUCUUGGUUAUUCUAAGAAGUGUAAUGAGGAUAAUUUAAAAACCUUACCGAAAGCAAUUGGAGGGCAAGUCUGGUGCCAGCAGCCGCGGUAAUUCCAGCUCCAAUAGCGUAUAUUAAAGUUGUUGCAGUUAAAAAGCUCGUAGUUGAAGUUCUGGCUGCUUGACCCUCGAGCUCUGUAGCCGAGGGAUCAGCAGUCAUCCGCUUGCAAACAUAAAUUCGCCCUUAAACAGGCGGCUAUGUGAGUAAGCAUUUUACCUUGAGAAAAACAGAGUGUUCCAGGCAGGUUUGUCCGGAAUGCAUUAGCAUGGAAUAAUAGAAUAUGACUGAAGUCGAUUUAUUGGUUUGAGGCUUUAGUAAUGAUUAAUAGGAACAGUCGGGGGCAUUGGUACUUGUCAGUCAGAGGUGAAAUUCUAGGAUUUGACAAAGACUAACAAAUGCGAAAGCAUUUGCCAAGGAUGUUUUCAUUAAUCAAGAACGAAAGUUAGGGGAUCAAAGACGAUCAGAUACCGUCCUAGUCUUAACUAUAAACUAUACCGACUCGGAUUCAGAUGAAUCAUAAAGUUCAUUUGGGACCGUAGGAGAAAUCAAAGUUUUUGGGUUCUGGGGGAAGUAUGGUCGCAAGGCUGAAACUUAAAGGAAUUGACGGUUUUGCACCACCAUGGAGUGGAGUCUGCGGCUUAAUUUGACAACACUGGGAAACUCAUCAGGGCAAGAAGAUUGUAGGAUUGACAGAUUGAGAGUUCUUUCUUGAUUGGUCUAGUGGUGGUGCAUGGCCGUUCUUAGUUGGUGGAGUGAUUUGUCUGGUUAAUUCCGUUAACGAACGAGACCUUAACCUGCUAACUAGUACGUUGAUGACAAAUCAACGAUACUUCUUAGAGGGACUAUGUGAUGUAAUCACAUGGAAGUUUGAGGCAAUAACAGGUCUGUGAUGCCCUUAGAUGUCCUGAGCUGCACGCGUACUACAAUGGUGCUUUCAACGAGCUUUUCCUGAUCCGAAAGGAUUUGGGUAAUCUUUUU